AAAGAACACAGUGUAAAGAACCAUGUUGAACAGCAGGUGUUCCAGUAAGGAUCCCCCAUCUUGCAGCACAUCCAAAGCUCCAAGAAUACUACAAGAACAGGAGUUAACAUGGCCGCCAUUUCCCAGAAACACCCCCAAGGACAACAACCAGCAUGGACCAAUAGGUACACUUAAGGAGUUCCUGCGUUUCAUGCCUUCAUUCUAAUUGGGCCUCUAAACUGCCUUGCAAAAUACAAGCAUCUGCCUUGCUACUUCUAACCAGGCCCCUUCAAAACUGAAAUUCUGGAUAUGCCACUAAUUCUGUACAGACUUGAAAGCAUUUCCUCUAGUGUUGCUCCAAACUACAGCACAUUUUGGCACCUUUUGUGGUGUAAUUUUGUGAUGAAU
rnacentral:lncRNA from 1 species